UACUCUCUUCAUAGUCAUUACCUUGUAUGCCUUCAUGUGUUUGUAAGAAAGUUGAAUGUGCAUUGCAAAUUAUAUAUAGUGUUAUAUAUGCAUGUUGGUUUCUUAAUUAAACACUUCUUUCUGAAUUGCAUUUGUAGAAAUGAACUAAGGCCAGGUUGUUCUCUUUUUCUGCUUGUAAUAAUGAUAUAUACUUUUUUUUU
rnacentral:misc_RNA from 1 species